GAUGAACGCUGGCGGCGUGCCUAAUACAUGCAAGUAGAACGCUGAAGGAAGGAGCUUGCUCUUUCCGGAUGAGUUGCGAACGGGUGAGUAACGCGUAGGUAACCUGCCUGGUAGCGGGGGAUAACUAUUGGAAACGAUAGCUAAUACCGCAUAACAGUAGAUGUUGCAUGAUAUCUACUUAAAAGGUGCAAUUGCACCACUACCAGAUGGAUCUGCGUUGUAUUAGCUAGUUGGUGAGGUAACGGCUCACCAAGGCGACGCUACAUAGCCGACCUGAGAGGGUGAGCGGCCACACUGGGACUGAGACACGGCCCAGACUGCUACGGGAGGCAGCAGUAGGGAAUCGUCGGCAAUGGACGGAAGUCUGACCGAGCAACGCCGCGUGAGUGAAGAAGGUUUUCGGAUCGUAAAGCUCUGUUGUAAGAGAAGAACGAGUGUGAGAGUGGAAAGUUCACACUGUGACGGUAUCUUACCAGAAAGGGACGGCUAACUACGUG
rnacentral:rRNA from 1 species